rnacentral:rRNA from 1 species
GUGUACAGCUAUACUUUCCAGACUGUGCCCAGUCUCAUCUGAUCUUGCAAGCUAAGCAGGGUCAGUACUGGUUAGUAUUUGGAUGGGAGAAAUGCAAGAAUUAUUCAGC